UCUUGUGUCGUCUGUUUGGCGCUAUAGUACUUCAGCCAUUUAAUGAUGCUCUCUCCACACUGGGAUAAAUAAAAACAAACACAUCACAUCUAAUGUGGACAUAUCAGAUGCCUUGUGAAACAUAAAGGAACAAUUCAGUUUCGAGCUAUGGCACUUGCCGCAUAGAUGUGGGGGGGCCUUGCACCAAUAGUGAUAGUUACCACUGCAUUUAGAAAUUGAAAGCAUUCGUGCAGACAAGGAUGAUUCUUUAUAUUUUUGGCUACCACUUCAAAUGCCUCCACCAAGUGUUACAAUGCUGCACGCAGCCAUACUAAGGAUCUCGCAACAACACCUGCAGGUAAAAAGCAGAAGCAGUCAAAGUGCUGGUGUGUUCUGGACACUAUGUUUGAAAACUUUUAGGCAAGAAGAGUGCAAGAAGCAGACAUAACUGCAUUUAUUUCCAUAAUUCCCCAUUUAAAUGGCCUUUUCUUUUUGCUUAGACAAUGCCUACGCCUAGCCACAGCAGCUCCCUCAUACAGACUCCGCAAACCAAGAGGCCGUGGAGGCAAAUGCAGGCAGCCAGCACACCUCGAACAGCCACCUUGAUUGCGAGUGUGUCACCCUAGUCGCCAAGGAAACAUUUGAGGGAAAGUGACAGGCAAUGUGAACAGCCACUCCUCCAUGUAAACAAUACUCUUUCUCUCGGAUGACUCCUACGCCUCACCACGCCAGCACACUUGUGCACAAAGAUGCCGCAGAGGCACGUGCAGGUCAGAGGCAAGAAGCAGUGGCACUGGUGUCGACAUUUACCCAAUUUCUUUUUCUUACACUGAGGCAGCCAGCACACCUCGAACAGCCACCUCGACUGCGGGUGUGUUAGUUGAUCCCUGUUGUACAUAUGCUCAUAAUAAACUUCAGUAAACUUGAACUUCAUAAUAAACUUGAAGGCAAAUGGUA